rnacentral:rRNA from 1 species
UACGUAGGGUGCGAGCGUUGUCCGGAAUUACUGGGCGUAAAGAGCUCGUAGGUGGUUUGUCGCGUUGUUCGUGAAAACUCACAGCUCAACUGUGGGCGUGCGGGCGAUACGGGGCAGACUGGAGUACUGCAGGGGAGACUGGAAGUUCCUGGUGUAGCGGUGAAAUGCGCAGAGUAUCAGGAGGAACACCGAUGGCGAAGGCAGGUCUCUGGGCCAUAACUGACGCUGAGAAGCGAAAGCAUGGGGAGCGAACAGG